ACCAAUCCUCAAACACGUAGGAAUUUCUACAACAAAAAGAAAAUUGAAAAAGAGCCACAAACCUUGAACACCAAGGUGGAACAUAUUUAAAGAUAUCAAACCUCAAACGCGAUGGUGAUACAUGAAAAAAGACAUCAUAAACCUUGAACACGAAAGUGGUGCACUAAGCACACCCCUUCUUGGUAGAUAACUAUUCGAGAGCGAAGGUGGUGA
rnacentral:lncRNA from 1 species